CACUGAUGGCUGCUCAAGUGAGCAGUUUCUAACAAACCUGCACAGGUGAACUCAAAUGGCUUCACUGCCCCCUGAAUUGGCACACUGUCUCUUCCACCUGAGGAAGGAAGAGGACGAGGAGUACAUGGCUCUUACCUAAGAGAACAGCAAGAUAGCAAAAACUCUUCUGUAUUUUAAGACUCUGUGCUGGGCCAGGUACGGUGGUGCAUGCCUGUAAUUCCAGAGGGUUGGGAGGCAGAGGUUAGAGGAUCACAAGUUCAAAGCCAGUCUCACCAAUUUAAAGAAGCUCUAAGUAACUUAGUGUGACCCUAUCUCAAAAUAAAAAAAAAAAUUAAAAACGAGUGAGGAUGUGGCUCAGUGGUUAAGCACUCUGGUUUAAAUUAAAAAAAAAAAAAAAGAAUAUGUCCUGGGCACAGUAGCACAUGCCUAUAACCCCAGCUACUCCAGAGAAUGAGGAAGGAGGAGCAUAAAUUUUGAGGUCAGCCUUGGCCUUGGCAAUUUACCAAGAACCUAUCUCUAAGUAAAAAGGGCUUGGGAUAUAGUUCAGUGGCAAAGCACCCUGGGUUCAUCUCCAGCACUGCAAAACAAUAACAAACCAAAUAUUGAAAUUAGGACAUGCCCAUUUUAUGUUUAUCUUUUUUUUUUCUUCUACUAGGAAUUGAGCCCAGGGACACUUUACCACUGAGUAUUGUCCACAGUCCUUUUUAUGUUUUGAGUUUGAGACAGAAUCUCCCUAAAUUUAUGAGGCUGGCCUCAAACUCCUCCUGCCUCAGGCUCGCAAGUCACUGGGAUUACAGGCAUGGGUCACUGUACCUGGUUAUCUUGGUAUUUAUUUUGCUAUCUAGUUGUUAAAGUAAGAUUUCUUUCUACUAGUGUUAUGGUUUAGAUAUAUGUCCCCCAAAAGCUCAUGUGUGAGACAAUGCAAGAAGGUUUAGACUGAAAUGAUCAGGUUAUGAGAGCCUUAACCCUAUCAGUGAAUUAGUCCCCUGAAAUGGAUUAACUGUAGGCAUGUAGGGUGUGGUGGAGGAGGGGGGCACGCCUUUGGGGAAUAUAUUUUGUCUUUGUUGAGCAGAGCUCAAUUUCUGCUUUUCAGUGUGAUGUCUUGAACCACUUCCCUCUGACACACUCUUCUGCCAUGAUGUUCUGCCUUACUUGGAACCCCCAGGAAUGGAGCCAGCUGACUAUGGACUAAAAUCUCUGAAACCGUGAGGCCCGAAAUAAACUUUUCCUGCUCUAUUAAUUUUUGUCAGGUCUUUCAAUCACAGCAGUGAAAAAGCGGACUAAAAUAUCUGGAAAACCCAGAGUGUUUUCUAUCUGCAUUGUCUUUGGGAGGGUGUGGAAAAUUGGAAAAGGAAGAGGAAGAAACUAAUGGGGGAAAAGUUCAUUUAAAGUCUCUUGAUGAAUUGGAACAGCUUGAACAGGAAAUCCUACCUCUGUUAGACUUUGAAACUGAUAGAAAAACACCACAAAUUGCAACUGUAAACAACCUUCACUGCCUUAAGUCACAUAGAGUGUUUUGCUUGGGUGGAAUUCUGCAGUUUCUAGAAGUUUAAGGUCAAUUUUUGCUUGGUCUUUGCUGUGCUCAGAGCAAAGCCAGCACCAUCCUUACAUCUCCAGGGAUAUGUUAAAAUAGUUUUCUCCACUCCAGCUCCAGAAUGCUCCUUCCACAGCACACACCACCAUAUACAUUACUGUGGCUCAGACACAUGGACCCAGAUGCUCACUUUUGUUGGGCAGGAAAAGGAAGAGGAGCAACCAGUCUCUGGCUUCUGAACCCCUGUAUAUCUUUCUGCUGAGCACUCCAAGCUCGGAAAGGUAAGGGCUUUAGGAAGAGUCUGCCAUCUCAGGCUCCAGUGUUUAAGGAAAUCCUCUGGGAUAUUUAGUGGACAUGUUGCCAAAGCUUGGUCCUUGUCCCCAAUGCCAAUCCAAUAAUGAGGAUAUGGUUUUGAGAAAAGGGAAAAAGAAGGUUUAUUGCUUUAUUAGCAAAGGAAAAACACAGGGAACUCCUGUCCCAACGGCUGUGAUUCUGCCCAUCAGCAGGAACAGGGAGCUUUUAAAGAGGUGAUUCAAAAACUUCGUUCCACAUGUUCUCUGUCUAGAGUUGUAAUCCACUUGUGAAUUUGGGGGACAGUCAUUUCUGAGAUUUUCUGGUGCCAUCCCCAAAGUUUGGAUUAUUUAUUUCCUUGAGUGUGUACUCAAGGACAGAUGAAUCUGCCUAGGAUGGGGAAGAAAGGUAAUCCUGUUUCCCCUGAGAUUAGGGAGGGGGAAAGAUCAGGGAGGAGCUGGAGAGAGGAAGAGAAAAGAAACAUGUCCAUUUUAAAAAUAAGUUGCAGCGGCAGAGCAGCAAGGCCUAAAAAUUCAAAGCAUAAAGUAGACCACUGUUCAGACAGAACUUGACAUUUCCUUUCUAUUUCAGUUUUAGAUCCUCAGGACAGAAUACCCUAGGUAGCUGCUGCUGCUUAAAUCCGAAGUUUUUAGUUCUGCAGAUAUUCUAAUGGAAUUGACACAAGUGCAGUCAAAUAAAUUGGAAACCACAAUUUAAAGCUUGUCUAUAUUAUUAU
rnacentral:lncRNA from 1 species